rnacentral:snRNA from 1 species
GUGCUCACUUCCGCAGCACAUAGACUGAAAGUGGAAUGAUACAGAGAAGAUUAGCAUGGCCCCUGCGCAAGGAUGACACACAAAUUUGUGAAGUAAAUAUUAAAUAU